rnacentral:siRNA from 1 species
UUCGGUGAAACAAACGAGCU